UUGCUCCUUGGGUCCGAGUGGGACGCGGUGAGUAAUGUUCGGGGAUCUGCCCGGUAGAGGGGGAUAACCACUGGAAACGGUGGCUAAUACCGCAUAAUGUCGCAAGACCAAAGUGGGGGACCUUCGGGCCUCACGCUACCGGAUGAACCCAGAUGGGAUUAGCUAGUUGGUGGGGUAACGGCUCACCAAGGCGACGAUCCCUAGCUGGUCUGAGAGGAUGACCAGCCACACUGGAACUGAGACACGGUCCAAACUCCUACGGGAGGCAGCAGUGGGGAAUAUUGCACAAUGGGCGCAAGCCUGAUUCAGCCAUGCCGCGUGUAUUAAGAAGGCCUUCGGGUUGUAAAGUACUUUCAGGCGGGGAGGAAGGGAUUAAGCUUAAUACGCUUCGUCCAUUGAAGUUACCCGGCAGAAAAAACACCGGGCUUAACUCCGUGCCCAGGCAACCGGGGGUUAUACGGGAGGGGUUGAUGCGGUUUAAUCGGAAAUUACUGGGGCGUUAAGCGCACGGCAGGCGGUCUGUUCAGUUCCAAAUUGUAAAAUUCACCGGGGCUUAACCUGGGAACUGCAUUUGAAAACUGGCAGGCUUGAUUCUUCGUAGAGGGGGGUAAAAUUCUCACAGAGUGUAGCGGGUAAAAAUGANGUNAAAAUCUGAAGAAUACCGGUGGGAAAGGGGGCACCUUGACACAAGACUUNCGCUCAAGGUUCGAAGGUUGGGAGCAAAAAGAUUUUAUACCAUGUAUUCACACGAAAUAAUUUUAUUUUGAAGUU
rnacentral:rRNA from 1 species